GUAGGUGGCAAGCGUUGUCCGGAAUUAUUGGGCGUAAAGCGCGCGCAGGCGGUCUUUUAAGUCUGAUGUGAAAGCCCACGGCUCAACCGUGGAGGGUCAUUGGAAACUGGGGGACUUGAGUACAGAAGAGGAAAGCGGAAUUCCAAGUGUAGCGGUGAAAUGCGUAGAGAUUUGGAGGAACACCAGUGGCGAAGGCGGCUUUCUGGUCUGUAACUGACGCUGAGGCGCGAAAGCGUGGGGAGCAAACAGGGAUUAGAUACCCUGGUAGUCCACGCCGUAAACGAUGAGUGCUAAGUGUUAGGGGGUUUCCCGCCCCUUAGUGCUGCAGCUAACGCAUUAAGCACUCCGCCUGGGGAUACGGCCGCAAGGCUG
rnacentral:rRNA from 1 species